rnacentral:rRNA from 1 species
AUCCGCCUGGGAAACUACGAAGCAACAGCUUAAAACCCAAAGGACUUGGCGGUGCUUUAGACCCACCUAGAGGAGCCUGUUCUAUAACCGAUAACCCCCGUUUAACCUCACCUUUCCUUGUCAUUUCCGCCUAUAUACCGCCGUCGCCAGCUUACCCUGUGAAGGUCCCCUAGUAAGCACAAUUGGUACAACCCAAAACGUCAGGUCGAGGUGUAGCGUAUGGAGAGGGAAGAAAUGGGCUACAUUCCCUAUUACAGUGAAUCACGGAUAAUAUUACUGAAACGUGUAUCUAGAAGGAGGAUUUAGCAGUAAGCGGAAAGCAGAGCGUCCCGCUGAAACCGGCCCUGAAGCGCGCACACACCGCCCGUCACUCUCUCCAAGCAUUUCUUUUUAAUUUAACUUAAAACAUUAUACCAGCAAAGGGGAGGCAA